UCAGGUUUUAUUUCAAGGAAGACGUUAUACGUGGAUAACUUCUUAAGAACAGAAAUGUCUGAGAAAGUUACAGACACGGAUAUUGCUAUGGAAGAGAUUCACGGGGAUGGAAAACGAUUGACUGCCGCCGAGAUACCAGUAGCUACCACACGAACUUCGGACCCGCCAUCCGAUACUUCCAUUAUGGCCAACAGUGCUCCGGAUAAAGACGAAUCUAACGCAUGCGCAGGACUUCUCAAAUUUUU